UACGUAGGGGGCAAGCGUUGUCCGGAUUUAUUGGGCGUAAAGAGCGUGUAGGCGGCCUGACAGGUCUGCUGUGAAAACUCGAGGCUCAACCUCGAGAUGUCGGCGGAAACCGUCUGGCUAGAGUCCCGGAAGAGGAGAGUGGAAUUCCUGGUGUAGCGGGUGAAAUGCGCAGAUAUCAGGAAGAACACCUAUGGCGAAGGCAGCUCUCUGGGACGGUACUGACGCUGAGACGCGAAAGCCGUGGGGAGCGAACAGG
rnacentral:rRNA from 1 species